rnacentral:lncRNA from 1 species
CUCAACCCCAAUUUUUUUUAAGCUGAUAGUCUUUAUUUCUUACUGGGCCUAUGACCGACUAUGACGAAAAAUGAGUUUGGAGGUUUCGACGGUAUGACUGUGACAUGCUUGUAUGUCAAAGUGCAACUUCAUUAGAGGCUGGAAAGCUAAGGGUCCUCCUCGAGUGCAAACAAUGGGAUGUUUGCUCUUUCCCAUUUACGCCCACCCACUUCUUGUUCCUUUCCUUUUUCGCAGUUUUUAUCAUGUUUUGACCGCAAGUUUUGUCCUCCAUAGUAUGGCUUGGGUUGUCAUUAUUGCGAGUGGGUAUUGGUUGUCAACGGGCAAAGAGUCUGUAGUGGCCUUCUUCGAUCUGGUUCUUUUUCGAAUAGAGCCGUGGCAAGUUUUGCCUGUGAGACCACCAUACUUCAUAGUGUGUUAUGGCGCAAGCUAAGAGGCUCGAGGAUAUUUCCACAAUCCUUAUGACAAUAUCAGCUCGCUCAAGCCCUUCCCCUAGUGGUGCCUGACAGGAUACGAAGGAUAAGGCGUCGUCGUCCUUAGCCCGUGGUUGAAUUGUAACUCUCUCACUCGUUUCUUGGGACACUUGCUUCAUGGUGAAAACUGGCACGGGACCAAGGGUGGGUGUUCCUUUCAUGACUCUUAAUCCGUCUGGGAUUCAUUUUACCUCUCUGAUUUCUUUCCUCAUGGUGUUGAGGAAUGACUUUUCAUCUUCAUCAGUCCCCUGUCAUCCAAUAAACUUAGCAUCCCCAG